CGGGAAGCGGGACUGAGUUGUAGCCAGGAGCCGAAAGGCCGGGUGACUGCUGCUGUCAGUCUCCGCGGGCCGGAGCAAACCUCCCGAGACAGGGCGUAGGAGCUUGAGGAGUUCGGAGAGCGGGCUUUGGACUCGUGCCUGGGUCUUUGGUUUGAGCCCUGGCUUCGGCCUUACUCGCAUUUCCCUGCAAGUACGGUCCCUCUCAGUCUUUCCUGAAGUCGGUGGGGUUUGGACUUUAUUAUUAUUAUUUUGUUGAGAGUCCAUUGUAUGGAAGCACCGGUUGACCUGUGCAGCGCGCCGUGGAGACCGCCAUGAGGUAGAAGCUAGGGGAGGGAGGGCUUAGAGAUGCGUGUAUGGUUACCUGCGUGCAGUAUUGGAGGUUAACCUAAGUUUUCUUGGAUGUGGAGAGUGUUGGGCUGCUCUUAGAUAUAGAAGGAUGUGAAAUGGAAUGAUGCGAUGAUGAGUGAAGUAUAGUCUGACCUGGUAUUGCCACUGCUUCGGUGUUGGCCUUGACCAGGGCUGAGGUGAAAAAUCUGGCUUUUGAGAUCUUCGUGGAGGACUACAUUAUUUCAAUCCUGAAUCUGGUUCAGUUUCCUUAUUGACUUAUUAUGAUAUUAAAAAUGCUUAGUU